CCUACGGGAGGCAGCAGUGAGGAAUAUUGGUCAAUGGACGAGAGUCUGAACCAGCCAAGUAGCGUGAAGGAUGACUGCCCUAUGGGUUGUAACCUUCUUUUAUAAAGGAAUAAAACGAGGCACGUGUGCCUUUUUGCAUGUACUUUAUGACUAAGGAUCGGCUAACUCCGUGCCAGCAGCCGCGGUAAUACGGAGGAUCAGAGCGUUUACCGGAUUUAUUGGGUUUAAAGGGAGCGUAGAUGGGUUGUUAAGUCAGUUGUGAAAGUUUGCGGCUCAACCGUAAAAUUGCAAUUGAUACUGGCAGUCUUGAGUACAGUUGAGGUAAGCGGAAUUCGUGGUGUAGCAGUGAAAUGCUUAGAUAUCACGAAGAACCCCGAUUGCGAAGGCAGCUUACUAAACUGUGACUGACAUUGAUGCUCGAAGGUGUGGGUAUCAAACAGGAUUAGAUACCCCAGUAGUC
rnacentral:rRNA from 1 species